rnacentral:rRNA from 1 species
AACGAACGCUGGCGGCAGGCCUAACACAUGCAAGUCGAACGCCCGUAGCAAUACGGGAGUGGCAGACGGGUGAGUAACGCGUGGGAACGUGCCCUUCGGUUCGGAAUAACUCAGGGAAACUUGAGCUAAUACCGGAUACGUCCGUAAGGAGAAAGAUUUAUCGCCGAAGGAUCGGCCCGCGUCGGAUUAGCUAGUUGGUGAGGUAACGGCCCACCAAGGCGACGAUCCGUAGCUGGUCUGAGAGGANGAUCAGCCACACUGGGACUGAGACACGGCCCAGACUCCUACGGGAGGCAGCAGUGGGGAAUAUUGGACAAUGGGCGAAAGCCUGAUCCAGCCAUGCCGCGUGAGUGAAGAAGGCCUUAGGGUUGUAAAGCUCUUUCAGCGGGAAGAUAAUGACGGUACCCGCAGAAGAAGCCCCGGCUAACUUCGUGCCAGCAGCCGCCGCUGUAAU